AACGCAGAAAUACCCAGCUAACAAAGCACAGACUCCGGACUCACGUUUCGAGACGCUUCUCGACUUCCGCGGCUGUCGUCGCGGGUGUCCCCGUCCUCGUUGGAAUGGCUCUGCUCACACAGCGAUUGUGAAAAGGAAGCAGAGAUGAGGUCACUGCACAGUGCAAGCCUGAUGCGACACAGGUGUUUCACACACAGCUCUACGUGUAACAUAACAGCUCACCUUGUCCUCGGAGGUGCUUUGGACUGAAUCUGAGGCCUGUGAAACAAUAAAAUGUAACCGAAUUGGAUAAGAUGGAAGCCAGAUGUACCUCCUCUGAUACAUCAACCUCCACAAAAGCUGUAAGACAUUCUACCUCAUUAGUUUUUAUAUGGCCGCUGCUCAAGGUCUGCUGCCUGACUCAUCUCCAUCAAUCAGGAGGCCAAAUUUCACAGCAAAGAACCCCAGCACUUCACACUAAUAUGGGCCCAUGAACAGGGCCAAUCUAAGCCCACAUGGCUCCCUAGGAAAGCUUCACCACUGGCGCCCCCUGUCUGUCGCAAAGUGAAACUGACAGGCUAAGCCGCUGCUUACCGUUUUCUCUGAAGUGUUCUCUUGGGAGCUCUGCAAAAACAAAGAAUAAAUUAUGCAUUUUUUUU